rnacentral:lncRNA from 1 species
AUCACAAUCCAUUAAAAAAAAUCCUCCAUUCUCAAAAAAUCCUCCAUCAAUCAUCCAUUCUAAAAAAUCAUUCACCCAUCAUUUAUUUACAAAAAUCAUCCGUCCAUAAUCACAAAAAUCUCUCAUACACAAUGAAUUCAUAUCAUCCAUAACAAUCCCAAAAUCUCCCACACAUGACCACCCAUCAAAUUACUCAUCAAUUUCUUAUUCAUCUUUUACUCAACCACAAAACCAUAAGAAUUUCAUCUGGAAAGUCUUUCAUCCAUCAUCUAUCCCAAUAAUCCUCAACCAUUAUCUCAAUAAAAAACACUCAUCAAUCAUUUUCUUCCCAAAACAUCAUCUUCCAUGCACAAUCAUAAAAAACAACCAUCUUCAACCAAACAAUAAUAAUCCAAGAUCUCUCAUACACAAAAAUGAGAAAAAAACACAGAAACUCAGGAG